AACCAGCUCUUCGAGUGGUCAGGACGAAUAUUGGGUCUAAAGCGCUCGUAGCCGGACAAGUAGGUUCUUGGUUAAAUCCGACAGCAUAACUGUUGGUCUGCUGGGAAUACCGCUAGUCUUGGAAGCGGGAGAGGACAGAGGUAGUCAUAGGGCAGGGGUGAAAUCCAGUGAUCCUAUGGCGACCACCGAUGGCGAAGGCAUCUGUCUGGAACGUAUUCGACGGUGAGGGGCGAAAGCUAGGGGAGCGACCCGGAUUAGAUACCCCCGUA
rnacentral:rRNA from 1 species